rnacentral:ribozyme from 13 species
GCGCAAAAAAAAAAAAAAAAAAAAAAAAAAAAAAAAAAAAAAAAA